rnacentral:tRNA from 1 species
GGGGGAUUAGCUCAUUUGGCUAGAGCGCCUGCCUUGCACGCAGGAGGUGGUGGGUUCGAAUCCAUAUCCUCCACCA